AGGAAGGUGGGGAUGACGUCAAGUCCUCAUGGCCUUUAUGACCAGGGCUACACACGUACUACAAUGGCCGGUACAAAGGGCAGCGACACAGCGAUGUGAAGCGAAUCCCGAAAAGCCGGUCUCAGUCCGGAUUGGAGUCUGUAACUCGACUCCAUGAAGUUGGAAUCGCUAGUAAUCGCGGAUCAGCACGCCGCGGUGAAUACGUUCCCGGGCCUU
rnacentral:rRNA from 1 species